CGAGAGGGAAGGACGACUGCGAGUUGGGACUGAACGGAAAAUGCACGGCACAGGGCCCGGGAGGCGUCGCGACAACUACACGGAACAAGUCCUCUACUGUGGACAACAAGCCUUCAAACGAGCAGUAAAUCAAGAAACUGCCAAGCCUGUGUUCCUCCUGUCACAGAAACAGAAAGCGGGAGAUGUAGCCUCGCAACUGACUAGCUGACUACUCCCGCGCUCUGAUCCCAUGAAGUCAUAAGGAAGUGUCUCGGAAUGCUGAGACCCGAGGGAAUGAUCUCGGUAAAGCUUCCUUAUCAGUUGGUCUCGGAAUGCUGAGUCCAUCUCCUGGGAUCGUGUGUGCGCGCGCGCGCGCGCGCGCACACAUUAAGUACUGGAGCACACUGGAACACCCGGAAGACAGUUGCUAGGUACACAGGAUUAACAGAUUGGAAUUUAUUGCCUUGUAAAUGUAGAGAAUAAAAGCUUUGCACCUGCCUGA